CCUACGGGAGGCAGCAGUGAGGAAUAUUGGUCAAUGGACGAGAGUCUGAACCAGCCAAGUAGCGUGAAGGAUGACUGCCCUAUGGGUUGUAAACUUCUUUUAUAAAGGAAUAAAACGAGGCACGUGUGCCUUUUUGCAUGGACUUUAUGAAUAAGGAUCGGCUAACUCCGUGCCAGCAGCCGCGGUAAUACGGAGGAUCCGAGCGUUAUCCGGAUUUAUUUGGUUUAAAGGGAGCGUAGACGUGUUGUUAAGUCAGUUGUGAAAGUUUGCGGCUCAACCGUAAAAUUGCAAUUGAUACUGGCAGUCUUGAGUACAGUUGAGGUAGGCGGAAUUCGUGGUGUAGCGGUGAAAUGCUUAGAUAUCACGAAGAACCCCGAUUGCGAAGGCAGCUUACUAAACUGUGACUGACAUUGAUGCUCGAAAGUGUGGGUAUCAAACAGGAUUAGAUACCCCUGUAGUC
rnacentral:rRNA from 1 species